GGAAGUAAAAGUCGUAACAAGGUAUCCGUAGGUGAACCUGCGGAUGGAUCAUUACCAAUUUUUAUAUACACUAGUUUUAGUUUACCGCAAGGUUUACUAUAAACUUACUAUGUAAACGUUGAACUAGUUCUUCAGUGUUGUGGCUUUUUGUUUGGGGGAUUCGUUUCCCAGGCUUAAGCCCCACACUGAUAUUCUAUAUAAUAUAUACUACUCGUAUAUACUACUACAAACAAACAAAAAACUACUAAUAGGACUUAUCAAUGGGUUGAGUGGGUAAAAGCCUCAGCUCUAAAAAAAUAAUAACUAUUACAACUUUCAGCAAUGGAUCUCUAGGCUCUCGCAUCGAUGAAGAACGCAGCGAAUUGCGAAACGUAAUGUGACUUGCAACUCUCGUGAAUCAUCGAAUCUUUGAACGCAUCUUGCACUAUUCGGCUUCCCCGGAUAGUAUGCCUGGUUGAGUGUCUGUGUAUCUCUCCUAUCAACAAUUUUUUUGUUGUUUAUAGGGACUUGGGGUUAUUUUUUAUAAAUCGUCGGAAACUUAUUCGUAAGCAACCGGUGAGCCCUUUAAAUAUAGUAAGCUCCCAUCUAUUUUCAAAAAAUGUAUGGAAAUACGUAAACUUGGGGAUGGCGUCGUAGCAAUCACUUCUUCUAGUAGUAUUGUCGAAGCGCCUAUACAUACCUCUAAACUACGGUGCUAAUCCAUAUUGUAGCUUGGGUGAAGCUUAACGACUGGCAAAGUGCCAUACUCCAUUUACUCGGAGUAUCCGAACAAUAAUGACCUCAACUCAGGUAGGACGACCCGCUGGACUUAAGCAUAUCAAUAAGCGGAGGA
rnacentral:rRNA from 1 species